CUUGUUUUAGGCAGCAAAAGCAUUUCAGAGAUGAGUUGGUUUCUUGCUUUGGGAAUCUUCAGUCCAGACUGUGCUGUGAUAAUAUCAUGCAAGCAGAAAGAUGUCACGUGAAUUCUGGAGCUACCGAAGUGAGUAUUUUGUACUGCACUGAAUGUUGAGGAAAGCCUCCAGAGCUAUUCAAAUUUAGGUCUAGAUUUCUGAAGCUGUUUUAUGGCUCUUAAAUUUUCUUGCAGGUGGAACAAGGAGGAGUAUGAGCAUUUGCAUGUAGGGUUAAGUCUUAAACUGUCCUAGAUUGUAUUCCGCAGUUAACACAGAAUAAUUGCUGAGUGUUUGGACUGCUGACUGGCUCUGCUGUUCUCAGCUUGCAGUAUUGUCGCAGGUCUCCUAACUUUUGGUUAAAACAUCACAGGGUAUAUGUCUCUACUAGCAAGCCGCUGUGAUGGCUGCUCUAUUGUGGGCCAAGGAGCCUAAGUAUAAGCUUUAUUUUCUUAGCCAUCAUGCCUGAAGUAGUGGUUGUUCUGCUAAACUUAUUGCUUAUAUAAUGACUCCAUUUGUUUAUUAUGCAGCUGAAUUUUGUCUUCAUACAAACUACUCGAUCUCUGGUGCAUGGACCAGUAGGCCUCUGUUUCUCCUUUGAAUGCUAUCAGCAUGAAUAGCUGAGAUUUUUAUCCACUCUUAAAUGAACUUAAAAUUUUGCUUUUUGUUCUUGAACUCAAACCAUGUCACAGUAGAGAAUUUCCUGAGGGCUUUUAUUUGAGGUUGGAAUUCUAAAAGAUACGGUGGUUAUAAACAUCUAAUGCUUGCUCCUCUUAGCAAAGCAAUUACAAUCCCAGGACCCUGAAGGAAUCAAGAGAUGCUUGAGGUAGUAUUGGAGAAUCCAGAUUUUAGCUAGAGAGAAACACAGCUUCUGCUUUGAAGAAUGAACAGAUGUUACCUGGAAGUGAGCAGCUAAAGUAAAGAACAGCAUGCUGGAUUCACCCUCCCUGCUGGCACUUAACCACAGCAGUCAGGUGGAAUGCAUGCCCAAGGGAGGGGCAACCUCGGUAGUGGGCUCGAAUCUAUUGGCAGGGAUCUGCAGCUCUUGUGCCCAGAGAGCUUUUCUCUUGGUCCUGGCUCUACCAAAUUCAUUCUGGUGCUAAAUGGUUAAAAAUGUGCUUCUGCUUUGAUUUCCAGAAGCAUGUCUGUUGAGAUGAGCUUAACAAAUCCCCUCGUGCGUGAUACCUGGAGAAAUAGCAGCAGCCAGCACAGGCAGGAAGCUGUUUGCUGGCAUAAUGAUGAUGACUCUUUGCCGUUUACCCAACUGAUUUUUUUGAUGAGUAACAUGUUAUCUGAUGUGCCAGCUCAUUAGUUAUUUUUUAGUAUCAUUUCUGAUUUGACUUGCUACCUGUGUUUCUGAUCUUUACUUUGUCUUUUAAAGGCAUUAUCAGAUGACCACCUCUGGUGUCCUCAAGCUGCGUGUGUACAUACAGCCAGCAGCAGACUCUGGCUCUCAGAAGUGUGGCUGUUGAAGGUUGAAAACAGUCUGAAGUGUGGAUUUCUAAUUCACUUGGAAGUGCUUUCAUGGCCCUUCUUGCUUCUCAGAAAUGCUGCUUGAUCUAAAGGCUGAGUAGGAGUUGAAAAUGUGAAAUAGUAGGUGAAAAUGUGAAUACCUGAAUGGAGUUCAGGUGAGAGCGUGACUCUAGGAGCAGAGGUAGCCCUGCAGACACUGUUAGAACUCAGCAUGGACAGUUAAGUGCGCUCAGAAUGACCAAAUUUGAAUAAAGCAAGUGUUAAAAGAUGUAGGAGAACUUGUGUUACUUUGUCUAAAUGAGUGUUUACAAUGUUAACAGUGGCAGCUCUUCUGCUCACCUGCAGUGCAGUGUUGUGUAAAUAAAAUCCUGAAUUUGUGUU